GACGAACGCUGGCGGCGUGCCUAAUACAUGCAAGUAGAACGCUGAAGGAGGAGCUUGCUUCUCUGGAUGAGUUGCGAACGGGUGAGUAACGCGUAGGUAACCUGCCUGGUAGCGGGGGAUAACUAUUGGAAACGAUAGCUAAUACCGCAUAAGAGUAGAUGUUGCAUGACAUUUACUUAAAAGUUGCAAUUGCAUCACUACCAGAUGGACCUGCGUUGUAUUAGCUAGUUGGUGAGGUAACGGCUCACCAAGGCAACGAUACAUAGCCGACCUGAGAGGGGGAUCGGCCACACUGGGAGUGAGACACGGCACAGACGCCUACGGGAGGGAGCAGGAGGGAAUCGUCGGCAAUGGACGGAAGUCUGAGCGAGAAACGCCGCGGGAGGGAAGAAGGAUGUCGGAUCGUAAAGCUCGGUUGUAAGAGAAGAACGAGUGUGAGAGUGGAAAGUUCACACUGUGACGGUAUCUGACCAGAAAGGGACGGCUAACUACGUG
rnacentral:rRNA from 1 species